CCUCAGCCCUAGUGCCGACCCAUAUUUUCUCUGCCCUAGCCGAAUCUUGAAGGUCACGGAUUGGUGAGGUUUUAUAUAUUGUGGGGUGUUUUUGAUUUCGGCAGUAACCCCAUCCUGCAGCAGUAAGGUACCAGGUUAUUUAUGGUGUCGCUUGGAGCAUCCUGUCUGCUGGUCCCCACGUCAC